UUCUCUUCUUUGUGUUUCCCCAGUGAUGCCUAUGGGCAGGGGCUGACAGGAAAUAACUCUGUUGAAAGAGCUGCUCAUCUUCUUGUUAAUAAUGCUUCUUCCAUGUCUUCCUGAAGGAAGAGAUUUUGUCCUGAGUGGAGUGUGGCAAGAGAGAGAUUCUGCUUUUCUCGGGAAGCUCAGCUAUAUACCAGCUUCUCCACGAUGCCAGAGUGAGAGAGACCACUGCUGAUCGUGCUGAGGCACAGCUGAAAGAGUUCCUUUCAGGGAAGCAGAUCCAAAAAUGGAGUCACUGGCUCUUGUCUGCCAGGUUGUACUCUGGGGUUCCUGACCCACAGCUCUGCUGUGCCUAUGCAUUCCUGCUAUCCUGCCUGAGUUUGAAGACAGCCUUGGCUACAUCAUGAGAUCCUGUCUUAAAAUAAAAUUUCUUUUCUUUUUGGUC